UACAGAGGUCUCAAGCGUGUUCGGAUUCAUUGGGCGUAAAGGGUGCGUAGGCGGCGCGGUAAGUCGGGUGUGAAAUCUCGGAGCUUAACUCCGAAACUGCAUUCGAUACUGCCGUGCUUGAGGACUGGAGAGGAGACUGGAAUUACGGUGUAGCGGUGAAAUGCGUAGAAUAUCGUAAGGAAGACCAGUGGCGAAGGCGGGUCUCUGGACAGUUCCUGACGCUGAGGCACGAAGGUCAGGGGAGCAAACGGG
rnacentral:rRNA from 1 species